rnacentral:rRNA from 1 species
GUGUCACAGCCGCGGUAAUACGGAGGGUGCAAGCGUUAAUCGGAAUUACUGGGCGUAAAGCGCACGCAGGCGGUUUGUUAAGUCAGAUGUGAAAUCCCCGGGCUCAACCUGGGAACUGCAUCUGAUACUGGCAAGCUUGAGUCUCGUAGAGGGGGGUAGAAUUCCAGGUGUAGCGGUGAAAUGCGUAGAGAUCUGGAGGGAUACCGGUGGCGAAGGCGGCCCCCUGGACGAAGACUGACGCUCAGGUGCGAAAGCGUGGGGAGCAAACAGGAUUAGAAACCCUUGUAGUCC